rnacentral:misc_RNA from 1 species
UUGAAGCUCAUCAAUCGCGAUUGGAUGUUGUCGGAAAGGGGCCUAAUUAGCACAAAUUUUAUUUAAAAAAAAAUCAAGAAAACGAAAACCGAGAAACGGAUGCAGCAGGGACGGAGGGACGUCAUAGCAGUUUCGAGACAGAUGUUUUUGACACGGAUCGAAUAUCUUGGCGAUGAUGUAAUCGAGUGUAAUUUUAUCCCAGGAUCCGUGAGAGCCGCUAAUAAAAAGUAGUAAAGGUUUAGAGCUUAGAGAAAAAGAAACAAAGGAAAAAUGGAUCAUCAGGUGUUCAGAAUACACAAUCGCGACGACUUCGUUAAUAUAACCAAAGGAAUAAAGGUUGCGCAAUGUAUGCAGUUGAAAUCAGCCUCUGCCUUAGGCGUGGAAAAAGUACUCUGCCAGUUGGAGGAACUUGUUGUUUCGGACUCGCUGAGCUGCUCCUUUUGCAAUACAGUUUUUGAGGACAAAGCCCAGCAGAGGCUUCAUUACAAGCUAGACUGGCAUCGUUACAAUCUCAAACAGCGGCUGGGUGGUUUAAAGUCCAUCAGUGAAGGAAACUUCAGCUUAAUGGCUGACAAGGACGAUGUGUCAAGCAUUUCGGGGAGUGAAUCUGAGUCUGAAAAUGACGACGAGACUGGGACCUCUGAGACUGGAAGUUCACGCACCGACUCCAAAGCGGGAAAUAGUAAAACAACAAGUAGCAGCAUACUCAUACCCGUGGACGACAAGAACCGGAAAGAGGAGCGAAAGAGAAAAAUAGCUGAAUCCGUUUCCGAUAGUUCGGACACUGAGUUGGAUGAGGAUGCUUUGCAGAAGAAGCGAGCACAGGAGCUUCUCCUCGUCGCGAGUCGUCACUCUAAAGUAUUUUUUGAAAAUGAUGAAGGAAAUAUAUUCAGCAUAUAUCGAUGCCUGCUUCAUAAUAAGAAGGAAAUUCCGGAGCUAGACAUAGAGAUGGUUGCACAGGCGCUUGAGAGUGGGAAAAAUACUACAUGGACUGUCAUUAUGCUGGGAGGUGGCCACUUUGCGGCUGCAGUAUUUCAGAAUGGCAUACCUGUAGUUCAUAAAACAUAUCAUUGCUACACCGUGCGUGCCAAGCAAGGCGGCUCUCAAAGCUCAAGAGACAACAGAAGUGCAGGAACGCAUCCAAAGAGUGCGGGAGCUAGUUUGCGGCGAUAUAAUGAGGCUGCACUUAUUCAACACAUUCAAGAGAUAUUGGAAUCGUGGACAACACACCUUGUUAGUUCCUCGUUGAUUUUGUACAGAGCAGUCGGACCUCAAAAUCGCACCGUUUUAUUCGGCGGUAAAAAUCCUCCGCUUGAUAAAAACGAUCCAAGACUAAGGCCGCUGCCUUUUCCUACUAGGCGUGCGACAUUCAACGAAGUUAAAAGAGUGUAUGAUAUUCUGAGCAGUCUGGAGGUGUACGGCUCGGCUACGGAGUUUACAGAUUCGUUUCCCAUUUCACCAAAACAACCGAUUCGGAAAAAGGUAUCAAAGGUCGACAUUCUUGACGGAAUACCGGAAAGUACGCCCACCUCAGAAAUCAUCCCUCCUUUUACCAAUGGUGCUGUCGAUAACGAAAAAUCGAAGAGAAUGUCGCAAACGUCAUUGGAACGACAAUAUCGCAGUCUUAAGUCUCACAUAGAUAGAGCAAAACCUCGGAAAAGCCCUCGGCGUCCGUUGCCUGACAUCGUAGCGCGAUUAGCUCAGUCCUCUUCCGAGUCAGAAUCUGACGAUGAUAGUGGUCCGACAAAUGAAGUUCCGUUGAUUGAACAGAGCCUUGAGAUGGAUUUCAACGAGCAUCUCCAAGCCUUCCAAGACACAGUGCCGCGAUACAUUAAGGCUAAAAAAGGACGCCGGCAAAAGAGGAAGUCCAAAAAAGAGAAAAAUGACGAACCGUCACCGAAUGCAAGCCUGUAUAAUUUGAAACAGAAAUUAUGGACCGCUUGUAAAUUGGGAGACAUAGAGCUGCUCUCGUCUGCUCUGGAAUCAGCAUUGAGUGAGAUUCAAAGGUGCCAGAGUUUAGAAGAACAGUUAGCAAAUGGUCAGGAGAUAAACGAAGAUCCUACUAAUUUCAUGAAAAUGGACAACGUUGUGAAGCUCGUUAACGAAUCUAACGAAGAAGGCAAUACCCCCUUACAUCUCGCAGCUAAUGGUGGAUAUCUUAAAGUCGUAUGCAACAGUUGAUAAAGAGACAAGAAAUACGUUCAGAAGAUUUAUGGCCGCUAAUCCCAACAAAUUUGAUUAUACCAAGUCCCAAAUACCUGGCCCGCUGACUGAUGAAAUGGAACUAGAAUUAGCUGAAAAGAAGAAGU